GGGCUCAUAGCUCAGUCUGGCUAGAGCAAUCGGCUCUUAACCGAUAGGUCGGGGGUUCAAAUCCCUCUGAGCCCA
rnacentral:tRNA from 1 species